rnacentral:tRNA from 1 species
AGAAACUUAGGUUAACACCAAACCAGCAGCCUUCAAAGCUUCAAAUAGGAGUGAGAUCCUCCUAGUUCCUG